rnacentral:rRNA from 1 species
CCUACGGGAGGCUGCAGUGGGGAAUAUUGGACAAUGGGGGUAACCCUGAUCCAGCCAUGCCGCGUGUGUGAAGAAGGCCCUCGGGUUGUAAAGCACUUUCAGUGAGGAAGAACGCCUGGUGGUUAAUACCCAUCAGGAAAGACAUCACUCACAGAAGAAGCACCGGCUAACUCCGUGCCAGCAGCCGCGGUAAUACGGAGGGUGCGAGCGUUAAUCGGAAUUACUGGGCGUAAAGCGCGCGUAGGUGGCUUGAUAAGCCGGUUGUGAAAGCCCCGGGCUCAACCUGGGAACGGCAUCCGGAACUGUCAAGCUAGAGUGCAGGAGAGGAAGGUAGAAUUCCCGGUGUAGCGGUGAAAUGCGUAGAGAUCGGGAGGAAUACCAGUGGCGAAGGCGGCCUUCUGGACUGACACUGACACUGAGGUGCGAAAGCGUGGGUAGCAAACAGGAUUAGAUACCCCAGUAGUC